CUAGAGUUUUUCUAUAAAGAGCUUUACAUAAUAACCAAUUGGAAACUCCAUAUCAGAAGGUGGAGAAAAUGCAUGAUUCUGUCAAUUUUCAAAUCAGACAUUAUCUUCUAAUAUAAACUCCAUAUAGAUAUGUUCAAACUAUUCCAACAGAUUUUUACCAAGUUUUCCCUGGAUAAAUUAUCUUAAUUAUUUCUCCAAAUCUUUUAUAUUUUUUUAAUUGAUAUACCUUGGUAACAUUAUUUUUUGUGGUGCCAUAAAGUCCCUUUUUCUUCUUUUAUUUUUUACUAUAACUAUACUUCCAUGUGAUGGCAUUUAUUCACUUAGAAUAUACACAUUGAGCAUUUUUUUCCUUGGCCAGCACUGUGCUAGCUGCUGGGGAUGUAGAUCUAUGCUUUGCUUUUCCAUAGAAUAUACAGUUUGGGUUUGUUUUCUACUCAUAAUGUGAUGUGAUUAAAAAAUAAACAUGUUUAUGAAUCUGUUUUGCUUACUAUAAUAUUUAGUGUUUAUACUAUACAUUUGAACUAAUAAUAAUUUUAGCUGCUCUUAGAUUCCGUGGCCCUUGUGUCUAAAGUAGGAUAACAAGGGGAUUUGAAAAUUAAGUUGCUCCUGCUGACCCAAAGCAAAUGAAAUAUUUCUAUAUAGGAUAUUACAUGUGACAAACAAGGAUGUUAUUAUUAUUUGGGAAAAUAGGAAGGUGGAGUAAUGGGGAUUCUCCCCAAGACUCACUUACUUUAAGUGGUGGAAUUCUGUGCUAUUUUAAUAUAAGCAAGUAUUUGAACUUCAUUUGACAUCUGUUUUAGGGAUAAGGUUGACAUUUUAUGGAUGUCUUUAUCUCCUAUAAUGAAACUGUUUUUGUUAGGAGUUUUGAAGGUGUUUCUGAAUUUUAGAAAAUGUACAGUUUCUAAAGCUCUUGGAACAUCUUGUAUCGGUGGCCUCUGUGAAUGGGACUAGUGCGACACUUCUUCCUCUAAAGAAUUCUGUGACUGUACCGUGAGGUAAUGACGGUGAUAUAAUAUUGAAUUAAUCAAAACAAUGUGCUAUGUAAACCUGAGGUUGUGAUUUAUAUUGUUUUGGUAGGCAUGUGAUAUUGUGUUGUAAAUUUUUAAUAUAAUGACUAUUUAAAUCAUUGUAAUUCUAAAAAUCUUCUCAGAUGUCUUCUCUGGAAUAGAAACGACUUUUUUACUCAUGUUCAGCUACUAUUAUGUAGCUGUUAUAAUCAUUUGAGAUUAGGGUGAAGGCAGUUUUUUGGCAUGUAAUUAGAAGUUGUUUUUUUUUGCAAUUGAAAAUCAGAAAGAUAGAACCACUUCACAUUCUGCUUAUAGGUCUGUCUAUGCUAACAUGUUUUAUGAUGUCAUGGAUAACUGCUGGGAAGCAAGAGAGUUCUAGAGAUGGUAUUCUGUUUCUUUGUUAGCACUUUAGUAAAACAUUUAAGAGAAGAAAAGUAUAGCCCUUUAAUGGUGCUAUCUGGUAAGUCUGAGGCUUAGACUGCAUUUAAUUUUUAUAUAUAAAACAUAUAUAAAAAUUGGAUAUUUAUAUUCUGUCAAGUGAAAGAAUAGUUGCAUUUUUGACUUAAAGAGAAAUUUGAUCUGCAUAGCACAAUUGUCAAAUUAGCUAAUCCGUAAAUAUUGACUAUUUUAAUUUGUUGAAAACAGAAGGCUAGCAUAAAGAAUGUAGUAUCAAAACUCUAAAAGAAGUCAGUGAAAAGUAAAUGUUAUGCAACAUGAGAAGAAUACAGGGGAAAAACUGACAGAAUAGAAUAACAGGAAGAUUAGUCAUUUCUGGAAGAAAAAAAAGGGUGGAGAGUGGGGGUAGAAAUAUUUUAAACAGGAAAGUAGAUCUGGAAGUGCCAUAAAAAAAGACAGAUAUGAGCUAAUUAAGAGUGAAACUGGACUUUUGAAAAAGGAAUAAUACUGGUUGCAUUUAAUUGCAAAACAAAAUUUGUAUUAACAACAAAUAAAAACAAAAAUGGGCAAAAUUUUUUAUUAGGGAUUAAGAGAACCCUGUAAAAAUAAAAGAACAAUGUUUACUUCUUAGCUGAGGUGACUUAUCUUAGGCCAGCCCGCAAUGCCAUACAUACACAAAGAAAAUGUAUUAUUUUUAAAAAACAAACUCAUGUUUACAUUCAUGUGUUGAUUACAUAAAAGUAUUCUUUGCAUCUUAAA